AGUAAUAUGCCUGAUUAAAGGAUUAUCAUGAUAGGAUAAAUAAUGUAAUUUAUUACUUUUACUA
rnacentral:tRNA from 1 species